CUAGAAAGAAAAUCUACUGCUUAAACUUUCCUUAUCUCUAUCAUUUAGAAGGGCUUUGAUUUUGGUAGAAAUAUUUAAAUUCUUUUGUCUCCCGCACAGUAUAUUGUCUUUAUUCACUUUAUGCCAACUAUUUUAUGGUACUCAGAAGUUUUAUGGUACUCCAAAUAAACGGGUCUGACAGUAGUCUGCCUUACCAUCAGCCUUCUUCACUCUUAAAGGCAACAUCGCUUAAUGCUGGAGCCUAAUUUGUCAGUGAGAGUGUGACUGACAUGUAUCAGAGCCUCUUCAAGGUUGCUGCACCACUUGCUCAAUUUCACUUUCCGAGUGGCUUGAAAACCUUGUCAGAUGAUUUUCAGCAGGAGUGAUUCCUUCAGUGCUGCCACUGCCAGUGAACAUUACAGUUGCAUCUCCUUCCAUACAAGCCACUACAGCAGAGCAGAUCCUCUGGCUGUGUUUCCUGUCAUCAGGUGUCACCCCAGCUAGAUGUCUGCAAGGAAGCGAUAUUCUACCUUCGGAAAAUCUAAUUUCCGGAUACCUUUAGAAAUGUUGGCUUGUAGGCAAUUUUCAAAGACAUAACAUUUGACUUUGCUGAUGCAUGUGACCCCGAAGUUUUGACAAAAUCUU